AUCUGUGUUAUUUGAGUUUUAUAUUCUUCUUUUAUUUAGUUGUGCAAUUUUUAUCAUGAUUUUUUUUUUUUUUGAGUUUUAGUUGUCAACUAAUUCACCUCUUUCAAAGUGGAGGUCUAAUGUAAUUUGAGUUAUAUUAUUUUUUGACGUACAUCGAAGACCAAAAGUAAUAAAAUUUGGAUUCCACCUCUCUACUUACACUAAAACAAAUAGCCCAUAGUGUUAUCAGACUUUUUUGUGAUUUGGCGUCUUAUCUAAAAGAUAUUUUUGUACUUUACCUUUGAUAUUAAUAAAACUUUUUGUUCCAAUUUUUUUUUAUGGGCAUAAAUUAGUGGCCAAACCAUAUAAAUCUUGAUGGACUCUUUCCUUUCCUUUCGUGCAAUAAUUUUUUUGAUAUAUUUUAUGCCUAUUUGUUCUAGCAAAAAUAGUUCUCCAUUUAACCAACUGUAUAUUGAUGACUUUAGUUUUGCAUAUGUUUACAAAGUAAAAUAAGUUGAACAACUAAUAAUAAAAUAUGCCACAGUAAAAUUAAAAUAAAAGAAUAAAAUAUAAUAUACCUUCGCCCAAUUAUUAUAAACAUACCUCUUACAUAAUUGCCUUAUCCUUGUCAUUCCAAUCAAAGUCACUUGCAUUCUGUCCAAGCAUUUCCGCCAUAAUAUUAUAUUGCCAUUUUCGAAAUUUCACCGCAAAUCAAUCUGUCGUCCCUCCUUCAACUCAAAAUUUGCCAAUUGAUCGUGCAUCCAUUUCUUCCUUUGUUGCAAGUA
rnacentral:lncRNA from 1 species